GGGGGGGGGGGGGUAGGAACUGUAUAUAAAAAAAUAAAAAAAGGAUUGUCAUCAAAGGAAGAACCAUGAAAUGGAGGACAAUUUGGGGAAGAAAGAAAAAAACUAAAUGAGAGGAGGAAGUAAGCUGAUCACUUCUCAGUUGUUGAGUUUCUAAAAUUCCCCUUCCUGUCCAAGAAGAGGAACAACCAUAGGACACAAUUCACCCAGAGCUCCCUACUGGAUUCACUGUGGGCUGGAGGAAUACGUAACCGGAGAGAGAGAGAGAGAGAGAGGGAGAGAAAAAAGGAGAGAGAGCGAGAGAAAGAAAGAGAACUGAAGGUGAUGGUGAUAAUGGGCGGAUGAUAGAGGACAACGAGAGUCAAAGAGAUUUGUUCAUCCCUCCGCACCAGAAGCAUCCUUCGUUCCUGUGGACUCCUCAAUCAGCACCAUGCUGUAGAAAACAAACUCCAGACCAACAUAACAGACUUACAGACUGAAACACAUACCUUAUGUCAGCAUACUUUACCGUGUCUUAUUAUACUAAGUUUAUUGACAUUGAAAUCCCAGACAAAUUAUAAAAGAAACAAACAAUAGAACAGAAUGGCCCUAGGAAAGAGCCAAAGGGUUAUGGGAUAGUAGGACAGUGUUCCACAACUUUGUUGUCAUCCUACUGCAUAGACAAUGCAUGCUCUUAACCACUGUCAAAUGUUCCCUUAGACAAAUGACAUGUUACUGUCUCUCAGAUACAGUAUAUUCAAUUGUUUUUAAAUCUUCCUAUUUGGUACUUCAAAGAUCGGACAUACAGUACGGUAGGCAACAUAAACAAAGUGCUGCAGUGGUCUGAGAUGACUCAACACAGUCAGUGUGGAUGUGACUACAGAAAAGGCGAGCCAGGUGCUAGGCAAUGGCAAAAUACAUUGAAAUAACAGUCAUUUUACUGCUUUGCAGCCAAACACUAUGCAAAGCUAGGAGGCCGAAUGACCAUUGCGUCCAGUGACUCCUGAGUCGGCCCACAAUGGUGACGCUACCUGCUUACGUAAAGUCAGUCACAGCUGUUGGACUGUUUUCAGUGAUUGACAGCCCUUCUCUUACCCUCUCACAAGAGACACACUUCAGAAGAUACUGAAUGAUGGGCCACAAUAGUAGAGCUACCAGUUAUAUAGUAUACCAGGCCAUUGGUCAUUUCAUAGAAACCUGCACAUAGGUCUGACAUACGAUACACUCCCUGACUGACUGAUGCUGACUCGUGUUGCAUGAGAGAGGGUGUCGGCUGACCCUAACAGACCUACUCAUCGACCACUUUGAAGGAUUUGGGCCUAAAGAAAACCAGAGUGUGUGCGCUGGAGAGUUGAGGAGGACGCCAAAGGAGAGAGACACUGGAAGCAUGACCGCAAUGCGCAUGCCAAGAACGCCAGCGACUGCUGGGAAAACGAGGACAUACGUCGCCCUCUCUUUCUCGCUCUCAAUCGCUCCCUCUCUUUAUCUCCAACCCUCUGCAUCUCAGCAUUGCUGCUCCUCCUCCGUAGCAAACUGCAUGGCAUGAUCGAAGAAAAAAAAAAACAAUAGGAACGAAACGUAGAGAACAAAAAG